UACGUAGGGUGCAAGCGUUAAUCGGAAUACUGGGCGUAAAGCGUGCGCAGGCGGUGAUGUAAGACAGUUGUGAAAUCCCCGGGCUCAACCUGGGAACUGCAUCUGUGACUGCAUCGCUGGAGUGCGGCAGAGGGGGAUGGAAUUCCGCGUGUAGCAGUGAAAUGCGUAGAUAUGCGGAGGAACACCGAUGGCGAAGGCAAUCCCCUGGGCCUGCACUGACGCUCAUGCAC
rnacentral:rRNA from 1 species